GACGAACCGUCCAAACGUUAUUCGGAAUUACUGGGCUUAAAGGGUGCGUAGGCGGCGCGGAAAGUUGGGUGUGAAAUCCCUCGGCUCAACCGAGGAACUGCGCCCAAUACUACCGUGCCUGAGGGAGAUAGAGGUGAGCGGAACUUAGGGUGGAGCGGUGAAAUGCGUUGAUAUCCUAAGGAACACCGGUGGCGAAAGCGGCUCACUGGAUCUCUUCUGACGCUGAGGCACGAAAGCUAGGGUAGCGAACGGG
rnacentral:rRNA from 1 species